GGGGAAGGGUAGCUUGCUACCUGACCUAGCGGCGGACGGGUGAGUAAUGCUUAGGAAUCUGCCUAUUAGUGGGGGACAACAUUCCGAAAGGAAUGCUAAUACCGCAUACGCCCUACGGGGGAAAGCAGGGGAUCUUCGGACCUUGCGCUAAUAGAUGAGCCUAAGUCAGAUUAGCUAGUUGGUGGGGUAAAGGCCUACCAAGGCGACGAUCUGUAGCGGGUCUGAGAGGAUGAUCCGCCACACUGGGACUGAGACACGGCCCAGACUCCUACGGGAGGCAGCAGUGGGGAAUAUUGGACAAUGGGCGAAAGCCUGAUCCAGCCAUGCCGCGUGUGUGAAGAAGGCCUUUUGGUUGUAAAGCACUUUAAGCGAGGAGGAGGCUACUGAGAUUAAUACUCUUGGAUAGUGGACGUUACUCGCAGAAUAAGCACCGGCUAACUCUGUGCCAGCAGNCGCGGUAAUACAAAGGGUGCCAGCGUNAUCGGAUUUACUGGGCCUAA
rnacentral:rRNA from 1 species